rnacentral:ncRNA from 1 species
AGUACUCAGGAGAGUCUCUUUUACGGUAUCAUACCGGUCAUCAGAACCGGCAUAUCUGUAGAAGGGCGCCGAAGGUGUAAGCGUUAUCAGUCGUUUUUUUAUUAAAAAGCGGGGGUAAACGUGAGUCUCUCAGGCAAAAGGAUGGAGGUAUAA